GGGCGCGUAGCUCAGCGGGAGAGCACUACGUUGACAUCGUAGGGGUCACAGGUUCGAUCCCUGUCGCGCCCA
rfam:Rhizobiales bacterium 62-47 SCNpilot_cont_300_bf_scaffold_73, whole genome shotgun sequence.